ACUUGGCCUUCUUCAGUGACGCUGUGAACGUGUAUGGAUUACCUCUGAGGGUGAGAGGAGAUCACGGAGGAGAAAAUGUGGGCAUAGCUGAGUUGAUGCUCACAGUAUGUAGAACUGACACAAACAGCUUCAUUGCAGCAAAAGUGUACACACAAUCAACGGAUUGAGCCCCUCUGGUGUGAUGUCUUCAUGAGUGUUACUGGUUUAUAU